UACAGGGGGGGCAAGGCGUUGUUCGGAAUUACUGGGCGUAAAGGGCCAGUAGGCGGCCAACUAAGUCACACGUGAAAUCCCCAGGCUUAACCUGGGAACUGCGUGUGAUACUGGAUGCUUGAAUUCGGGAGAGGAUGCAGAAUUCCAGGUGUAGCGGUGAAAAUGCGUAGAUAUUGGGAGGAACACCAGUGGCGAAGGGCGGCUCACUGGACCGGAACUGACGCUGAGGCGCGAAAGCGUGGGGAGCAAACGGGG
rnacentral:rRNA from 1 species